CCCCGCGCCCAGGCUGCCGCUCCGCGUUGCCAUGGCUCCGCGCGGGCCGGGCACCUCUCGCCCAGGGCGGCUCUCCACCCCACCCCGGCCCCCUCCGGGGCGGGCGCACCUUUGAAGUAGUCGUUGGCCUGCGUCUUGAGCUCCUCCGCCCGCUUCAGAGCGCCAUCGGCCGGGGGCUCGUCCCGGGGGGGCUCAGCACACUCAGUCCGCUCGCCCUCCGCCAUCGCCAUGCCGCAAAGCGACCCCCACCCUGGCAACGGCUGCCAGCGGCGCCCGGCCGAAUCGUCGCGAAGGAGUGCCGAGUUGCCGCUGCCGCUGCUGCACAAGUGUCGUAAAGCGCGGGCCCCGAAGGCGCCCUCCGCGCGCCUGCGCAGGGCCCUUUCGCCGUAGAGCGCGCGGAGGACAAGGCUCUACUGUGGCUCCCGUUCUGGAAACACAAGGUAGCCCACUCCCCAGCCUCCUUGUCUUGGCAGCCUGCCCCGAUCCCGCAACCUCCUGUCACAGCCAACAGUCAGCCUACAAGGUGGAUACGAGUAUCGGCUCCAUUUUACUGCUGAGGACCUUGACACUUGUAGAGGUCGUCACACUUGCCCAAGGUCAUACAAUGAAGGUGGCAGAGCCAGAA